CGACCUCAGAGCAGGCGAGACUACCCGCUGAAUUUAAGCAUAUUACUAAGCGGAGGAAAAGAAACUAACAAGGAUUCCCCCAGUAGCGGCGAGCGAACAGGGAAGAGUCCAGCACCGAACCCCGCAGGCUGCCGCCUGUCGUGGCAUGUGGUGUUUGGGAGGGUCCACUACCCCGACGCCUCGCGCCGAGCCCAAGUCCAACUUGAAUGAGGCCACGGCCCGUAGAGGGUGCCAGGCCCGUAGCGGCCGGUGCGAGCGUCGGCGGGACCUCUCCUUCGAGUCGGGUUGCUUGAGAGUGCAGCUCCAAGUGGGUGGUAAACUCCAUCUGAGACUAAAUAUGACCACGAGACCGAUAGCGAACAAGUACCGUGAGGGAAAGUUGAAAAGAACUUUGAAGAGAGAGUUCAAAAGUACGUGAAACCGUUCUGGGGUAAACGUGAGAAGUCCGAAAGGUCGAACGGGUGAGAUUCACGCCCAUCCGGCCACUGGCCUCCGCCCUCGGCAGAUGGGGCCGGCCGCCCGCGCGGAGCAAUCCGCGGCGGGGUCGUGUCCGGUUGCCUUUCCACUCGCCGCGGGGUGGGGCCGUUCCGGUGUGCGGUGGGCCGCACUUCUCCCCUAGUAGGACGUCGCGACCCGCUGGGUGCCGGCCUACGGCCCGGGUGCGCAGCCUGUCCUUCCGCGGGCCUCGGUUCGCGUCUGUUGGGCAGAGCCCCGGUGUCCUGGCUGGCUGCCCGGCGGUAUAUCUGGAGGAGUCGAUUCGCCCCUUUGGGCGCUCGGGCUCCCGGCAAGCGCGCGCGGUUCUUCCCGGAUGACGGACCUACCUGGCCCGGCCCCGGACCCGCGCCGCUGUUGGCUCGGGAUGCUCUCGGGCGGAAUAAUCGCUCCCGUCAGCGGCGCUUCAGCUUUGGACAAUUUCACGACCCGUCUUGAAACACGGACCAAGGAGUCUAACAUGUGCGCGAGUCAUUGGGCUGUACGAAACCUAAAGGCGUAAUGAAAGUGAAGGUCUCGCCUUGCGCGGGCCGAGGGAGGAUGGGGCUUCCCCGCCCUUCACGGGGCGGCGGCCUCCGCACUCCCGGGGCGUCUCGUCCUCAUUGCGAGGUGAGGCGCACCUAGAGCGUACACGUUGGGACCCGAAAGAUGGUGAACUAUGCCUGGCCAGGACGAAGUCAGGGGAAACCCUGAUGGAGGUCCGUAGCGAUUCUGACGUGCAAAUCGAUCGUCGGAGCUGGGUAUAGGGGCGAAAGACUAAUCGAACCAUCUAGUAGCUGGUUCCCUCCGAAGUUUCCCUCAGGAUAGCUGGUGCUCGUACGAGUCUCAUCCGGUAAAGCGAAUGAUUAGAGGCCUUGGGGCCGAAACGACCUCAACCUAUUCUCAAACUUUAAAUGGGUGAGAUCUCCGGCUUGCUUGAUAUGCUGAAGCCGCGAGCAAACGACUCGGAUCGGAGUGCCAAGUGGGCCACUUUUGGUAAGCAGAACUGGCGCUGUGGGAUGAACCAAACGCCGAGUUAAGGCGCCCGAAUCGACGCUCAUGGGAAACCAUGAAAGGCGUUGGUUGCUUAAGACAGCAGGACGGUGGCCAUGGAAGUCGGAAUCCGCUAAGGAGUGUGUAACAACUCACCUGCCGAAGCAACUAGCCCUGAAAAUGGAUGGCGCUGAAGCGUCGUGCCUAUACUCGGCCGUCAGUCUGGCAGUCAUGGCCGGUCCUUGCGGCCGGCCGCGAAGCCCUGACGAGUAGGAGGGUCGCGGCGGUGGGCGCAGAAGGGUCUGGGCGUGAGCCUGCCUGGAGCCGCCGUCGGUGCAGAUCUUGGUGGUAGUAGCAAAUACUCCAGCGAGGCCCUGGAGGGCUGACGCGGAGAAGGGUUUCGUGUGAACAGCCGUUGCACACGAGUCAGUCGAUCCUAAGCCCUAGGAGAAAUCCGAUGUUGAUGGGGGCCGUCAUAGCAUGAUGCGCUUUGUGCUGGCCCCCGUUGGGCGAAAGGGAAUCCGGUUCCUAUUCCGGAACCCGGCAGCGGAACCGAUACAAGUCGGGCCCCUCUUUUAGAGAUGCUCGUCGGGGUAACCCAAAAGGACCCGGAGACGCCGUCGGGAGAUCGGGGAAGAGUUUUCUUUUCUGCAUGAGCGUUCGAGUUCCCUGGAAUCCUCUAGCAGGGAGAUAGGGUUUGGAACGCGAAGAGCACCGCAGUUGCGGCGGUGUCCCGAUCUUCCCCUCGGACCUUGAAAAUCCGGGAGAGGGCCACGUGGAGGUGUCGCGCCGGUUCGUACCCAUAUCCGCAGCAGGUCUCCAAGGUGAAGAGCCUCUAGUCGAUAGAAUAAUGUAGGUAAGGGAAGUCGGCAAAUUGGAUCCGUAACUUCGGGAUAAGGAUUGGCUCUGAGGAUCGGGGCGUGUCGGGCUUGGUCGGGAAGUGGGUCAGCGCUAACGUGCCGGGCCUGGGCGAGGUGAGUGCCGUAGGGGUGCCGGUAAGUGCGGGCGUUUAGCGCGGGCGUGGUCUGCUCUCGCCGUUGGUCGGCCUCGUGCUGGCCGGCGGUGCAGGAUGCGCGCGCCUGCGCGGCGUUCGCGCCCCGGUGCUUCAACCUGCGUGCAGGAUCCGAGCUCGGUCCCGUGCCUUGGCCUCCCACGGAUCUUCCUUGCUGCGAGGCCGCGUCCGCCUUAGCGUGCUCCUCCGGGGGCGCGCGGGUGCGCGGAUUCUCUUCGGCCGCCAUUCAACGAUCAACUCAGAACUGGCACGGACUGGGGGAAUCCGACUGUCUAAUUAAAACAAAGCAUUGCGAUGGCCCUAGCGGGUGUUGACGCAAUGUGAUUUCUGCCCAGUGCUCUGAAUGUCAACGUGAAGAAAUUCAAGCAAGCGCGGGUAAACGGCGGGAGUAACUAUGACUCUCUUGGAUGGCACCCUGCUCCAGCCGCCACCUGCCAUCCCUGGUCUGCUGGACUUCUGGGCGGACCUCUUCACUAAGAAGCCCAUCUCCACCGCGGGCUUCAUUCGUGACCGCCUCCUCCCGCACUCAGAGCCUGUCGCUCUCGAGUGCAUAUGGGGGCCGGUCACACAUGAGGAGGUCGCCGCCGCGUUGCCGCCCAGGGGAUCAGCAGCCGGGCCGGACGGCCUUACCCCAGCGGAGUUGCGGCGCCUGCCGCACGAAGUCCUGGUGAAAGUGAUGAAUCUCUUCCUUCUGGCCCGCGCCCUUCCGGAACGCCUGCUUCGCGCGCGGACGUCCCUUCUCCCGAAAACGGCUGCACCAACAUCCCCCGCUGACUUUCGCCCCAUUACGGUCUGCUCGGUGUUGGCGCGGACCUUUCACAAGGUUCUCGCGUCACGCCUGAUGCGCGCAUGUGCUGUGGACGAACGUCAGCGGGCAUUCAUCCCUCGGGAUGGGAUGUUGGAAAAUACCUUCAUCUUGGACACUGCUCUCACCGACGCAGUUCGCUCCUGCCGCUCUGUCUUUGUGGCAUCGAUCGACGUAUCUAAGGCAUUCGAUUCGGUAGAUCAUGCUGCCCUUCGCCCCGUGCUGAAGGCGCAUGGCCUGCCGGAUUGCUUUGUCGAGUAUGUCGAGCGGUGCUACGAGGGCAGCACGACAGUGAUAGCGGACGGCGCCGGCGUGGGCGUGUCUGUGCAGCCAGCACGGGGCGUUCGCCAGGGCGAUCCCCUCUCCCCCCUCCUGUUCAACUUUGCGGUGGACUACGUUUUAGGCCAACUGCCCUCCCACAUCGGAGCUCGGAUCCUCGGUCGCAGAGUCAACGCUGCGGCCUUUGCAGAUGACGUCUUGCUGUUUGCAGCGACCCCGAGGGGCUUGCAGUCCCUCAUCGACGCAGCUACCGCAGCCCUCGCCCACCUGGGGCUGCAGAUCAACGCCCGGAAGUGUUUCACCCUCGCCUUAGUCGCGUCAGGGCGCGAGAAGAAGGUGAAGGUGGACAGCAAUGUCACCUUCACAGCAGGCAAUACCACCAUGCCUGCCCUGCGUGUGGGUGAAACCUUCCGGUACCUGGGGCUGCAAUUUUCCACGGCGGGUCGCUGUGUCUUCAAUCCACGUAGCCACCUGGUGGAGCAGCUUGACGUCAUCUCCCGAGCUCCGCUGAAGCCGCAACAGCGCCUCCACGCUCUCACCAAUGUACUUCUCCCUGGCCUGUACCACGGGCUGGCCCUCAGCCGCACCCGGGUGGGUGCAUUGAAGUCGGCCGACGUUACCAUCCGGGCCGCCGUCAGGAGAUGGUUCCGCCUUCCGGCGGACACCCCCCUGGGAUACUUCCACGCUCCUGUUGCCCAGGGGGGCCUCGGCAUUCCAUCUUGCCGAUGGAUGGGUCCGACCCUCCGUCGGUCCCGUCUCCUGGCGCUGAAGAAGAUAGGGCCAGCCUGCGACGGUGCAGGCAUGGAUGAGGUGCAGCGUGAGAUCGAGGUGCUGGAGCGCCACCUAAUGUGGGAGGGCCACCUCCUCAAAUCGUCAACGCAGGUUGGGGAAAUGUGGGCGGCGCGCCUACACAUCGCCAUUGACGGUGCGGCACUGUCAUCUUCUGCCGCCGUCAGUGGCCAACAUCAGUGGGUCGCCGACACCAGUCGCCUGCUAUCUGGGCGUGAGUACAUCGACGCCCUCCGCGCCCGCAUCAACGCCUUCCCUACGAAGGCACGGCGCAGUCGCGGGCGGGAGGCGGACACCAGAUGCCGCGCGGGGUGCCAGGCCGUGGAGACCGCCAACCACGUACUUCAGGCUUGCUUUAGGACGCACGGGUCCCGGGUCAAGCGCCAUGACGCUGUAGUGCGUUAUGUCGCCCGUGGACUCGCGCAGAGGGGCUUCAAUGUCUCUGUGGAGCCCCACCUCCGAACACCUGAGGGCAUCCGCAAGCCUGACGUGGUGGCGGUCAAAGACGGCAUCGCCCGCGUGGUCGACGCCCAGAUAGUCGGAGACCACCUCCGGCUCGACUGGUGUCACUCCCAGAAGGCGGCCUACUACGACACGCCGUCCAUCCGGCGUGCCAUCUCCAACCUGCACCGUGACGUUGAGGAGGUGAUU